rnacentral:rRNA from 1 species
UGGUUGAUCCUGCCAGUAGUCAUAUGCUUGUCUCAAAGAUUAAGCCAUGCAAGUCUAAGUAUAAGCAUUUAUACUGUUAAACUGCGGAAAGCUCAUUAUAUCAGUUAUAGUUUAUUUGAUGGUAAACCCACUACAUGGAUAACCGUAGUAAUUCUAGAGCUAAUACAUGCCUUGAAGCGGUAACUUUGGAAGCCGUGGACUUAUUAGAUCAAGAGCUGACCCUUUUCGGAGGAACAAGCUGAAUCAUAGUAAUUUCGCUAAUCGCAGUGGUUUUGUACCGGCGAUGGGUCAUUCAAAUUUCUGCCCUAUCAGCUGUGAUGUUAGUGUAGUGGACUAACAUGGCAUAAACGGGUGACGGAGGAUUAGGGUCUGAUUCCGGAGAGGGAGCCUGAGAAAUGGCUACCACUUCCAAGGAAGGCAGCAGGCGCGUAAAUUACCCAAUCCCGAUACGGGGAGGUAGUGACAAGAAAUAGCAAUACCGGAUCUUUUAAGAUCUGGUAAUUGGAAUGAGUACAAUCUAAAAUCCUUAACUAGGACCCAUUGGAGGGCAAGUCUGGU